UACGUAGGGACCAAGCGUUGUUCGGAUUUACUGGGCGUAAAGGGCGCGUAGGCGGCCACCGCAAGUCAGUUGUGAAAGCUCUGGGCUUAACCCAGAAAGGUCAGCUGAUACUGCGGGGCUAGAGUGCAGAAGGGGCAACUGGAAUUCUCGGUGUAGCGGUGAAAUGCGUAGAUAUCGAGAGGAACACCUGCGGCGAAGGCGGGUUGCUGGGCUGACACUGACGCUGACAGCGCGAAAGCUAGGGGAGCGAACGGG
rnacentral:rRNA from 1 species